rnacentral:rRNA from 1 species
CGUAGGGUCCAAGCAUUAUCCGGAAUUACUGGGCGUAAAGAGUACGUAGGUGUUCCAUUAAGUCGGUCGUUAAAUCCCACCGCUCAACGGUGGGGCUGCGAGCGAUACUAAUGGAAUUGAGUGUCACAGGGGCAAGCAGAAUUCUUGGAGUAGGGGUGAAAUCCGUUGAUACCAAGAGGAAUACCAAUGGCGAAGGCAGCUUGCUAGGUGAACACUGACACUGAGGUACGAAAGCGUGGGGAGCAAAGGGGAUUAGAUACCCCCGUAGUCCACGCCGUAAACGAUGCCAACUAGCAAUGGGGAGAGUCGACCCUCUCUGUUGCGAAGCUAACGCGUCAAGUUGGCCGCCUGGGGAGUACGGUCGCAAGACUA